rnacentral:rRNA from 2 species
CUAAUACCGGAUAGGAUCUUCUCCUUCAUGGGAGAUGAUUGAAAGAUGGUUUCGGCUAUCACUUACAGAUGGGCCCGCGGUGCAUUAGCUAGUUGGUGAGGUAACGGCUCACCAAGGCAACGAUGCAUAGCCGACCUGAGAGGGUGAUCGGCCACACUGGGACUGAGACACGGCCCAGACUCCUACGGGAGGCAGCAGUAGGGAAUCUUCCGCAAUGGACGAAAGUCUGACGGAGCAACGCCGCGUGAGUGAUGAAGGCUUUCGGGUCGUAAAACUCUGUUGUUAGGGAAGAACAAGUACGAGAGUAACUGCUUGUACCUUGACGGUACCUAACCAGAAAGCCACGGCUAACUACGUGCCAGCAGCCGCGGUAAUACGUAGGUGGCAAGCGUUAUCCGGAAUUAUUGGGCGUAAAGCGCGCGCAGGCGGUUUCUUAAGUCUGAUGUGAAAGCCCACGGCUCAACCGUGGAGGGUCAUUGGAAACUGGGGAACUUGAGUGCAGAAGAGAAAAGCGGAAUUCCACGUGUAGCGGUGAAAUGCGUAGAGAUGUGGAGGAACACCAGUG